rnacentral:rRNA from 1 species
GAUGAACGCUGCCAGAAUGCUUAACACAUGCAAGUCUUUGGCGAAUCUGUGCUUGCACAGGCUAGCCAAGGCGGACGGGUGAGUAACGCGUAAAGAACUUGCCCUGCAGACAGGGAUAACAGACGGAAACGACUGAUAACACCUGAUACAGUUGCCGGCACGCAUGUGCCUGGCAAUGAAAAGAGAUGCUGCAGGAGAGCUUUGCGUCCUAUUAGCUUGUUGGUGAGGUGUCGGCUCACCAAGGCGAUGAUAGGUAGCCGGCCUGAGAGGGUGAACGGCCACAAGGGGACUGAGAUACGGCCCUUACUCCUACGGGAGGCAGCAGUGGGGAAUAUUGGACAAUGGGGGCAACCCUGAUCCAGCAAUUCUGUGUGCACGAAGAAGGUUUUCGGAUUGUAAAGUGCUUUCAGCAGGGAAGAAGAAAGUGACGGUACCUGCAGAAGAAGCGACGGCUAAAUACGUG